UCUCCUGGAAAAGGGUGGUAAUGCCGGAUGCUCCAGCACACUGCAUGGUGUGUUGGGAAAGCCUUUGCGGCAUGGGAUGGGGUCGCGUCCUAUCAGCUUGAUGGCGGGGUAACGGCCCACCAUGGCUUCGACGGGUAGCCGGCCUGAGAGGGCGACCGGCCACAUUGGGACUGAGAUACGGCCCAGACUCCUACGGGAGGCAGCAGUGGGGAAUAUUGCACAAUGGGCGCAAGCCUGAUGCAGCGACGCCGCGUGAGGGAUGGAGGCCUUCGGGUUGUAAACCUCUUUUGUUAGGGAGCAAGGCAUUUUGUGUUGAGUGUACCUUUCGAAUAAGCACCGGCUAACUACGUGCCAGCAGCCGCGGUAAUACGUAGGGUGCAAGCGUUAUCCGGAAUUAUUGGGCGUAAAGGGCUCGUAGGCGGUUCGUCGCGUCCGGUGUGAAAGUCCAUCGCUUAACGGUGGAUCCGCGCCGGGUACGGGCGGGCUUGAGUGCGGUAGGGGAGACUGGAAUUCCCGGUGUAACGGUGGAAUGUGUAGAUAUCGGGAAGAACACCA
rnacentral:rRNA from 1 species